rnacentral:lncRNA from 12 species
AUUGCUUCCUGUAGCUCUGGCUGGCGCUACAGCACGACAGCCCGGAGCAGGAAGGACACAGGGAUUCAUUCCUCAGCCCCGCAGUGCAGGCUGCAGCCACGCCAAGGGGAGGAAUGCGGCUCGCAAGGGCCAAGGAGUUCAGUUCACUCUGGGCCGCAGCGACUCGGUGAUAAAGCUCCUUUGGAAACAGCAUCUACCUUUAAGCCAGGAAGUAUUUUAGGCAACAGAUGCCUUACAGGCUUCUUCAAGCUUACUCAGCAGCAUGCAGUCCUCCAUCCCAUAGAGAAGCUCAUUUCCACAAGGCACAUCCAGACAGCAUUGGCAUCUGCCUAGGAGUGGGGAUAGUAGAGGAUGAGAACAACGGCAGAGAGGGAUGC